rnacentral:rRNA from 1 species
UACGUAGGGGGCAAGCGUUGUCCGGAUUUAUUGGGCGUAAAGAGCGUGUAGGCGGCCAGGUAGGUCAGCUGUGAAAACUCGAGGCUCAACCUCGAGACGCCGGUUGAAACCAUCUGGCUAGAGUCCGGAAGAGGAGAGUGGAAUUCCUGGUGUAGCGGUGAAAUGCGCAGAUAUCAGGAGGAACACCGAUUGCGAAGGCAGCUCGCUGGGACGUAACUGACGCUGAGACGCGAAAGCGUGGGGAGCAAACAGG